rnacentral:rRNA from 1 species
GAUGAAUGCUGGCGGCGUGCCUAACACAUGCAAGUCGAGCGGCAGCGGGGGGUGCGUGCACGCUGUCGGCGAGCGGCGAACGGCUGAGUAACGCGUAGGAAGUUGCCCAAAAGUGAGGAACAACUGGAAGAGAGGGUAGAUAAUGCCGCAUAUGGUCUUCGGAUUAAAGGAUCUAUCCGCUUUGGGAGAAGCCUACGUUGGAUUAGGUUGUUGGUAGGGUAAUGGCCUACCAAGGCGACGAUCCAUAGCUGGUCUGAGAGGGUGAUCAGCCAGACUGGAACUGAGACACGGCCCAGACUCCUACGGGAGGCAGCAGUGAGGAAUAUUCCACAAUGGGCGAAAGCCUGAUGGAGCAACGCCGCGUGAAGGAUGAAGGCCUUCGGGUUGUAAACUUCUUUUAUCAGUGAAGAAUAUGACGGUACCUGAUGAAUAAGCCCCGGCUAACUACGUG